AAUAAAGUGUGAAUACCGGAAGCUAUUGUUCUGAUCUUUUCGUUUAGUUUCCGUUGUGAUAACCACUAUCAUCUAUCAUCGAGAAGUGGUUUAUAAACAGGUGACUGAGGGAAUAAGGGAUGACCAUCGAUAUGUGUGAACACCUCGAUGUGUGAUAGAUUAUCGGAAUAAAAGAGACGCAUACAUACUGUCCGCCAGAUUUCGGUGGCUCAUAAGUGAUCG
ensembl:ncRNA R10E12.12 ncRNA